GAUGAAUGCUGGCGGCGUGCCUAACACAUGCAAGUCGAGCGGUAACAGAUCUAGCUUGCUAGAUGCUGACGAGCGGCGGACGGCUGAGUAACGCGUGGGAACAUGCCCCAAAGUGAGGGAUAACCGCCCGAAAGGGUGGCUAAUACCGCAUAUGGUCUUCGGAUUAAAGGAUUUAUCCGCUUUUGGAAUGGCCUGCGUACGAUUAGAUAGUUGGUGGGGUAAUGGCCUACCAAGUCUACGAUCGUUAACUGGGUUGAGAGGAUGAUCAGUCAGACUGGAACUGAGACACGGUCCAGACUCCUACGGGAGGCAGCAGUGAGGAAUCUUCCACAAUGGGCGAAAGCCUGAUGGAGCAACGCCGCGUGCAGGAUGAAGGCCUUCGGGUUGUAAACUGCUUUUAUAAGUGAAGAAUAUGACGGUAACUUAUGAAUAAGCACCGGCUAACUACGUGCCAGCCGCCGCCGUA
rnacentral:rRNA from 1 species